CUGUACUCUACUUGUCGUUGUCCUUUAAGCUGUCAGGGGUUUACCUCUGUACCACCAACACCCUCUUUCCUUUCACGUCCCAUUCUCCUGAGGGUGGUAAGCAUAGUUUCAGGGUCAUGUUCAUUCAGUCCCAUUCCCUGGGGUGGUAGAAUAGUUCAGGGUCAUUCGUCCCAUUCCCCUGAGGGUGGUAAGAAUAGUUCAGGGUCAUUCUCCUGAGGGUGGUAAGCAUAGUUCAGUCCCAUUCUCCUGAGGGUGGUAAGAUAGUUCAGGGUCCUUCUCCUGAGGGUGGUAAGCAUAAUUCAGGGUCAUGUUCAUUCGUCCCUCCUCCUGAGGGUGGUAAGCAUAAUUCAGGGUCAUUCCGUCCCAUCCUCCUGAGGGUGGUAAGAAUAGUUCAGGGCAUGUUCAUUCAGUCCCAUCCCCUGAGGGUGGUAAGAAUAGUUCAGGGUCAUUCUCCUGAGGGUGGUAAGAAUAGUUCAGGGUCAUUCAGUCCCAUUCCUGAGGGUGGUAAGCAUAAUUCAGGGUCAUGUUUCAUUCGUCCCAUUUUCCUGAGGGUGUAGAAUAGUAGGGUCAUGUUCAUUCCGUCCCAUUCCCUGAGGGUGGUAAGAAUAGUUCAGGGUCAUUAGUCCCUUACCCUGAGGGGUGGUAAGAAUAGUUCAGGGGUCAUGCAGUCCCCAUUCCCCUGAGGUGGUAAGAAUAGUUCACG
rnacentral:lncRNA from 1 species